rnacentral:rRNA from 1 species
AGCGGGGAAGGUAGCUUGCUACCUAACCUAACGGCGGACGGGUGAGUAAUGCUUAGGAAUCUGCCUAUUAGUGGGGGACAACAUUCCGAAAGGAAUGCUAAUACCGCAUACGCCCUACGGGGGAAAGCAGGGGAUCUUCGGACCUUGCGCUAAUAGAUGAGCCUAAGUCAGAUUAGCUAGUUGGUGGGGUAAAGGCCUACCAAGGCGACGAUCUGUAGCGGGUCUGAGAGGAUGAUCCGCCACACUGGGACUGAGACACGGCCCAGACUCCUACGGGAGGCAGCAGUGGGGAAUAUUGGACAAUGGGCGAAAGCCUGAUCCAGCCAUGCCGCGUGUGUGAAGAAGGCCUUUUGGUUGUAAAGCACUUUAAGCGAGGAGGAGGCUACUUAGAUUAAUACUCUAGGAUAGUGGACGUUACUCGCAGAAUAAGCACCGGCUAACUCUGUGCCAGCAGCCGCGGUAAUACAGAGGGUGCGAGCGUUAAUCGGAUUUACUGGGCGUAAAGCGUGCGUAGGCGGCUUUUUAAGUCGGAUGUGAAAUCCCUGAGCUUAACUUAGGAAUUGCAUUCGAUACUGGGAAGCUAGAGUAUGGGAGAGGAUGGUAGAAUUCCAGGUGUAGCGGUGAAAUGCGUAGAGAUCUGGAGGAAUACCGAUGGCGAACGCAGCCAUCCGGCCUAAUACUGACGCUGAGUACGAAAGCAUGGGGAGCAAACAAGAUUAGAUACCCUGCUAGUCCAUGCCGUAACGAUGUCUACUAGCCGUGGG